AAAGAAAUGAACAGUGUUAUUAUUUAUUUAUAUUAAUAAAUUCAUUUGAAAAAUCUUAUCCGAUGGAUCAUAAAGAAGCUCCAACAACUCGAAGCGUGCUUCGAAGAUGGCCCUUAAUUCGCGAGCAAGGUGGGCCCGAUUUGGGGUAAGCACUUGACUCUCUACCGUAUAUAGUUAGGUACUGCUACCUACUACUACCAACUACUACUACUACUACUACUACUACUAUACACAUAUACCGGUCGUAAUCCACUUGUAUAAUGUCUUCAUGCGAGGCCAGAACCUCAAUUUACUGCUACUGCAUCUCGAUCACAUGCAACGGCAAUGUAUAUAUCGUUCAACAACAUUAAAAGCAUGGAUGAUUAUUACGAUGACAAGGAAGCUUUAAUUUCUCAAAUAAAUUUCUUCUAUUUGCCUUCUUUCAAGAGAUUUUAUCUACCUAGUAUAUAAUGUAUAUAUGUCUUUAUAUACUAUAUUUUGCUCAUUUU